rnacentral:lncRNA from 1 species
UUCCUAAUUGAGCCUUAUAGGCGAGAGAUGAAAUUUAAUUUAUUGAUAAUAUUGAGGGAUGUGAUGAUAGUAUCAUUAGUAUGUUAGAAAUCUUUACCCACUAUCCUGUACAAAAUUUUUUAUAUAAAAUCCAUUAAAUUUUAAUCUAUAUCAUUACUUUCUAAGACAUUUGUUUUCACGUUUUAAGCUUGAUAUUUUGAAAUUUAAUGAUAGGAAAAAGAUUCACAAAUUUAACCGAGUUUUGUAUAAAGAGAACCAACAAUCGUACAUAUGUUGGGCAUCUCCAUCGUACUCAGAUUUUUU